rnacentral:misc_RNA from 1 species
ACGAAUUUCGAGGUUGUGCUGGUUCUCACAAGUGCACGCCUCUUACAAUUCCAUUCACACCCAUGUGCACUCUAAGAGACGUAUUUCCCCCGUUUACGUGCCGAAAGGCUUGGGACUUCGUCUGUUUAACACACUCUUCUGUAUCAGAAUGUAUUCGGCGGAGACGCCAAAACGAAAAUA